rnacentral:rRNA from 1 species
AACGAACGCUGGCGGCAUGCCUAACACAUGCAAGUCGAACGAGACCUUCGGGUCUAGUGGCGCACGGGUGCGUAACACGUGGGAAUUUGCCUCGGGGUAUGGAAUAACUCAGGGAAACUUGAGCUAAUACCAUAUAAUGUCUUCGGACCAAAGAUUUAUCGCCCUGAGAUAAGCCCGCGUAGGAUUAGCUAGUUGGUGGGGUAAAGGCUCACCAAGGCGACGAUCCUUAGCUGGUCUGAGAGGAUGAUCAGCCACACUGGGACUGAGACACGGCCCAGACUCCUACGGGAGGCAGCAGUGGGGAAUAUUGGACAAUGGGGCGAAAGCCUGAUCCAGCAAUGCCGCGUGAGUGAUGAAGGCCUCGGUUGUAAG